rfam:Vigna angularis cultivar Jingnong 6 C2849753_1, whole genome shotgun sequence.
AGGUGCGAUCAUACCAGCACUAAUGCACCGGAUCCUAUUAGAACUCCGAAGUUAAGCGUGCUUGGGCGAGAGUAGUACUAGGAUGGGUGACCUCCUGGGAAGUCCUCGUGUUGCACCUC